rnacentral:lncRNA from 1 species
GUUAAGAAAAGAAGCUAAGUUUCACGGCCUGAUGUUCAACACCUGAACUACUGUGAUCUCUGAUCUGUCAAUAUUGUAGUUUUUGCUCUUUGGCUCUUUGCUAGCAAGGCCAGCUAAUUACAAAUGUUGUGAACUUGUUGAGUGAUUUUUUACAGUGAAAAAGCGUUUUAAGAGUAUUAUCACACGGAGAAGUGCUUAACAGUAAAAGAAGAAAGUGGCUGUCGGCGGCUUUAACGAAAAGACAAUAACAGGCAAUGAAAAAAAAGUUUGUCGAAUUGAAUCGGCGUAUGAAGCCUUUGAAUUACAUUUAUGGCAGUGAAUUAAACAUUCAACUUAUUAGUCAAGAAUCUGCCGUUACGGAUGCCCAAUUACAACCAAAUUUGGAAACUACGACAAAAUUUGUUGACGAACCAGUAAAAGGUUUGAUGACCAACUGCCAUUAUCGAGCAGCAUAACCAAUUUACUUGUCAAAUGUUUGAACUUACGAGAUACAUGGUUAACAAAACCACCAGUUCUAACUAUUAUCCCCCCCCCCCUCCUUGUCCAAAGAUCAACAGCGGCUGGAAAGCUCUGAUCCGGUCUCUAAACUUGCUAAAAUUGGGGACAAGACCAAAAAGGCUCUUACGGCAAUUAACAAACCUAAAACAGAAACAAAUUAAACAGCUUGCAGCACAAUUGUCUGUUGAACAGCAGCUCUACUCUAAAGAAAUUACUGAGGCUUGUGUUUGCUCCGAUCAAGCCAGAAGAGCUGAAGCAUUCCAAAGUUUGGCUUCAGAUCCUGGAUUGCAUUAAAUGCUACCUGGCCUGUGCACCUUUAUCGCUGAAGGCGUUCGAGUUAAUGAUGUUCAAAACAAGUUGGCACCUGUUGAAGCACUGCUUUCCAAUCAAACGCUUUACCUUUAAAAAGAACUUCACGAAUGAGUUCCUGCUGUCACGUCUUGCAUGGACAGCAAAAACUUUGUCUUCGGCAAGAAGUGGAUAAUCAUUGGGCUUUGAGAGAUUCUCUUCACGCCUGAUUUGCAAAAAUUACCCCACAACGACGAAUAAUUGCAAGACUCGUGUCGCGGUUGUUCUGUUGAGCGCUGGGCAACGACAAAAUGCCAUUGGCGUCAUUUUACCACGCCCUCGUUGGAUCAUCCAAAUUGGGAACGGAAUUGAUCAAAGCCUUCAUUAUUCCGAAAAUACGAACGAUAUAGGUGGACGCAUCGAACUUUACUUGGAUGGAACAGGGCAGGCCAAUGCCGAUCGGAUAGCAGCCUCCCACAUCAAGCAAUUGACGAUCUCAUGAAAGUGACGCGCCAAUCGCCUGAUAACAUUGACGAUUACCGUCAGGAGUUCGGGUAACUUGGGCCGGCUCUUCACGGCGCCGUAAAUAGAGCCCGAUCUCAGAACACAACUCCGGCGGCGUCGUCUACUGGCAUUUCAUCAGCUGCAUGUAAGGAUUUUGUGACUCAUUCCUAGGGUGGUGAUAUCAGGGUCAGGCCUAAUAAUGGAAAUAAGUUAAACAACUUGCUGGCCCUUAAAAUCGUCAUCGAAAAGCGAAUUGAAAGUUUUUUUUCAAGAUCACUGUUGUAAUUUUCUAAUCCAAAUGUGCUAGCCGACAACCUCCGAUCGCUGCGUCAUACAGUUUUCGUCGACGAUUUGGAUGUCACUUUGUCAGAAGAAGAGGAUGUGAAUCAGGACUACUUGUCAAAAUUUUUGGCGAGGAUCUCUGCACUGACGUCUUAAAAACUACUAUUUCAUGCUUAACGGACCCUCUACUUAAUCGCGACCUUGUUUUAAUGUUACUCGAUUUCGUCUUUUUGCAAAUCCUCCCAAUAUGUGCUUUCCAACAUAUGUGUUGUUUGUCGAAGCUUGUGUACUGAAAUCUUGAAUUGAACUCAAUGUUUCGAAACGUUAGUUGACAUGCCGCUGCAAGAUUUCGGUUAGGGGAAAAACAUUCAUUCUAAACUGAAUGAAAGCAGACCUGAAAAAUUCAGAAGCACACGGUUCAACCUCGCCAGCAUGAUAUAUUACUUUUAAUUCGGAUAAACGCCUGUG